rnacentral:lncRNA from 1 species
ACCACUGAGCCACACCCCGCCCGCCCUAUUUUGUAUUUUAUUUAGAGACAGGGUCUCACUGAGUUGCUUAGUGCCUCACUUUUGCUGAGGCUAGCUUUGAACUCAAGAUCCUCCUGCCUCAGCCUUCCAAGCCAGUAGGAUUACAGGCAUGGGCCACGGCACCUGGCCGUUUUUUAUUUGUUAUUUGUUCAUUUUUAUUUUGAGAUAAUGCUGAAUUGCUGAAGCUGGCCUCAAACUUGUGCUCCUUCUGUCUCAGCCUCCUCAGUCACUGGAAUUAAAGGCAGGCCCAGUUACUACUUGGCCUUUGAGACUGGGGGUGUCCUGCUGCAGGAGAAGCUAGUAUCCUUUGUCAAAGAGCUAAAUCACACCUAGCCAGGAAGUCAGACACCUCAGGAAAUCUUGGAGAGGAAGAGGAACGAACGCAGGGAAGCUUCAGGCCAGCUGCUGGCCCAGGCCGAUGUGAGCCACCUGACAAAUGCGCCCUUGGUAUCCACUAGUGCCAGGGCCUUGCCUUGGGAUGCUGAACAGACAGCAGUCUGCUUCUUGCUUCUCUUCUGCCUUCCCAACGGUGCAGAAAGUGUGUAACCAGCUCACAAGUUGACACCUCGCAGAUCCUCUACCUGGCUUAUUAGCUAGGCACCUUCCUUCAUCUCAUUUGAAAUGUGAAUGACAAUCACCUAUGAAAGGACAGGAGAAUUAAAUGAAAUAAUGUGUUCUAGCCUAGAAUAUAACACUCUAAUUUUGUUGAGUGAGUUGAUUCCUUUACUAAAUUAGAUGAUCAAGAAUGUGCUUUUUGGGUGGACUGGAGCUGGGGCUGGGGCUCAGCGGUAGAGCGCUUGCCUAGCCUGUGCGAGGCCCUGGGUUCGAUCCUCAGUGUCAGAUCAGGUGAGGCAGGUAGCAACCAAAGGAGGCAGAUUUAAAAAGACAGCUGAACGAGGCUUUAUUUGAGACUCACUCCCAGGCGGAACUCAAUCAGCCCAACAGAGUGGACAGGAGGAGGAUCUGAGGAGAAACCACAUGGGAACUUAACCGGACUGGACUUUUAUGGGGCUCACAGCAGGAAGGGAAGGGCUUGGGACAGGAAAAGGUGUUCUUAGGGUCCCUUGUCCCAUUGGAGUUGGUCAGGGGAGGUGGCUAACUCCAGGAUUGGCCGGGGAGUCCUGCUGAUUGACAGGCAUUUCCGCAGGCACCUGAUUGAUGUUCCUUUCCCCAUGGGCUGCUUUGUUUUAAGUUGCCACCAAGACGCCACCACCUACCUAACACUCUGCACCACAUAAAAAUAAAUAAAAAAAUAAAGGUAUUGACAACUACAGCUAAAAAAUAAAUAUUAAAAAAAAAUGUGCUUUUUUGGGCUGUGGUUGUGGCUCAGUGGUAGAGCACUUGCCUGGCAUGUGCAAGGCACUGGGUUCGAUCUUCAGCACCACAUAAAAAUAAAUAAAUAAAAUAAUGCUAUUGUGUCCAAAAAAAAGAAUGUGCGUUUGGUUUGAACUCAACAAAGAUCAUUAGUCCUUUAAAAUGUGAAAGGAAAGAGAGGAACCGGGA